rnacentral:rRNA from 3 species
UAGUGGCGAACGGGUGAGUAACACGUGGGCAAUCUGCCCUUCACUCUGGGACAAGCCCUGGAAACGGGGUCUAAUACCGGAUAACACUCUGUCCCGCAUGGGACGGGGUUAAAAGCUCCGGCGGUGAAGGAUGAGCCCGCGGCCUAUCAGCUUGUUGGUGGGGUGAUGGCCUACCAAGGCGACGACGGGUAGCCGGCCUGAGAGGGCGACCGGCCACACUGGGACUGAGACACGGCCCAGACUCCUACGGGAGGCAGCAGUGGGGAAUAUUGCACAAUGGGCGAAAGCCUGAUGCAGCGACGCCGCGUGAGGGAUGACGGCCUUCGGGUUGUAAACCUCUUUCAGCAGGGAAGAAGCGAAAGUGACGGUACCUGCAGAAGAAGCGCCGGCUAACUACGUGCCAGCAGCCGCGGUAAUACGUAGGGCGCAAGCGUUGUCCGGAAUUAUUGGGCGUAAAGAGCUCGUAGGCGGCUUGUCACGUCGGAUGUGAAAGCCCGGGGCUUAACCCCGGGUCUGCAUUCGAUACGGGCUAGCUAGAGUGUGGUAGGGGAGAUCGGAAUUCCU